rnacentral:rRNA from 1 species
ANNUAAGACGGCGGCUAACACAUGCAAGUCGAGCGGGGAAGGGUCAGCUUGCUACCUACACCUAGCGGCGGACGGGUGAGUAAUGCUUAGGAAUCUGCCAUUGUAGUAGGGGGACAACGUUCCGAAAGGAAUAGCUAAUAACCGCAUACGUACCUACGGAGAGAAAGCAGGGGAUACUAUCGAGACCUUGCGCUAAGUGAUAGAGCCUAAGUACGGAUAUAGCUAAGUUGGUGGGGUAAAGGCCUACCAAAGGCGACGAUCUAGUAGACGGGUACUAGAGAGGAUGCAUCCGCCACGACUAGGGACUAGAGACACGGCACCAGACUACCUACAGGGCAGGCAGCAGUAGGGGAAUAUAUGGACAACUAGGGAGGGAACCCUAGAUCCAGCACAUAGACCGCGUAGUAGUAAG